rnacentral:tRNA from 1 species
UUCCAGGGAUGGGAAUCGAACCCACAGUGUUACGCUUACCGGGCAGAUGCCAUGUCCACUAGGUUACCCUGGA